rnacentral:rRNA from 1 species
GACGAACGCUGGCGGCGUGCUUGACACAUGCAAGUGGUGCGACGAACCAGGGCUUGCCCUGGGGCAAAGCCGCGAACGGGUGAGUAACACGUGGGUAAUCUGCCCCGAUGACCGGGACAACCCGAGGAAACUCGGGCUAAUACCGGAUGUGGUGCCUUGGCGUAAGCCUUGUCACUAAAGGAAGCUUCGGCCUCCGCAUUGGGAGGAGCCCGCGGCGCAUUAGCUUGUUGGUGGGGUAACGGCCUACCAAGGCGACGAUGCGUAGCUGGUCUGAGAGGACGAUCAGCCACACUGGGACUGAGACACGGCCCAGACUCCUACGGGAGGCAGCAGUGGGGAAUCUUGCGCAAUGCGCGAAAGCGUGACGCAGCAACGCCGCGUGGGGGAAGACGGCCUUCGGGUUGUAAACCCCUUUCAGGAGGGACGAAGGUUCGCCGGUGAAUAGCCGUGCGGAUUGACGGUACCUCCACAAGAAGCUCCGGCUAACUACGUGCCAGCAGCCGCCGUAACAC